rnacentral:misc_RNA from 1 species
UGAAAUGCGAUAACUAGUGUGACUUGCAUUAUCUCGUGAAUCAUCGAGUCUUUGAACGCACCUUGCACCUUCCCGGUCUCCUGGAAGGUAUGCUUGUUUGAGUAUCAGCAUCACUACUCCCCACCCGCCAGGGCGGGGGAACUGAGGCCGCAAGCGGCACGCGCCGCCUGGACCUUGCAAUCGAUAUGCUGCACCGCCCCGCGCAAAUGUGAGAUAGACAUCGCACAGAGUCGCGGGCGCUGUGCAGCUACACGCUGCGGCGCACAGUACUACUACUAGCUGGUACUGCGUGUGUGUCGCCUUGCCUCUUGAUCUCAAAUCAAGCAAGACUACCCGCCGAACUUAA